GAUGAAGAACGUAGCGAAAUGCGAUACUUGGCGUGAAUUGCAGAAUCCCGUGAACCAUCGAGUCUUUGAACGCAAGUUGCGCCCGAAGCCAUCAGGUUGAGGGCACGUCUGCCUGGGCGUCACAUAUCGUUGCCCAAUGCCUAUUGCAGUGCAAUAGGAAUUUCUAGGGCGAAUGAUGGCUUCCCGUGAGCGUUGUUGCCUCGCGGUUGGUUGAAAAUCGAGUCCUUGGUAGGGUGUGCCAUGGUAGAUGGUGGUCGAGUUAGAACGAUACCGAUCAUGUGCAUGCUCCCCAAAAUAUGGCCUCUAUGACCCACACGCGUCUUUUGACGCUCAUGACGAGACCUCAGGUCAGGCGGGGCUACCCGCUGAAUUUAAGCAUAUCAAUAAGCGGAGGA
rnacentral:misc_RNA from 1 species